GGUCGGGAGCCUCAACACUCCACGGCCUCCAUCUGGGGACUUUUCUACCCGGGAAGAAGGUGUGCGGCCAACUCGCUCGGCCACCCCUCGCCGGUGUGGAGGAACAGGCAGGGCUCCAUUUGGAGCUUGGGGAAAGCUAAAAAUGAAGAGCACUACCCCAGGUGGGACUCGAACCCACAAUCCCUGGCUUAGGAGGCCAGUGCCUUAUCCAUUAGGCCACUGGGGCCUGCGGCACGUGCGGCCUGCCUCUCCUCUGAUGUGCAGUGCGACCUUGCUUGGCCGGGCAGGUCGCAGUCGGGCCGGCCCGGAGCUGCGGGAGGCGAAGGGACCGCACCGGGCUGGGCCAUCGCCACGCUCCGGCCCAGCCGCGGGCGCUCCUCGGAGCCUGGGGGCCGCCUUGAAGUCGCCUGGAAAACCUGACCGUAGAUGCGGGAAGACCGAGGGCGGUGGCAUUUCCUGACCAUUUUUGUGUACCUCUAAAGAACUGAUGCAAAAAUCAAGAAUUUUAGGAGAAGGUAGUGCGGGAAGUGAAAGAGAACAGACACGAGGCAGGGACACGGAGUCCGUCGUGAGAACGCACCGAUCCAGCCACAACAGGAUCCCGUGUACUGUGCACACCUGUCACGUUACCAACAGGGUGCGUGGAUGGCAGCCGGGCAGAGUUUUCACUCUAGUAUUUUCUUUAAAACUAGUCUGCAGAAACAGGUCUCCUUCCUCCCCUUACUAGAGCAAGAAGGAAGAAUUUCGCCCAUGUGGCUCCAGUCCACUGCCUUGAGGACUUCUGGCUGUGACUGCUGAGGUUUAAAGGCAGGCAGUAAUCACAGGUCCUUAGGACGAGCUUCUCCGCCUGCCUGAGUUAUGAACCUGCCACUUCCAUCAAGACACGGAACCUCCUGGCACCUGCAAGGCACCCUGUGCCUCCCCAAGUCAAUGAUCUCCUCCCUCAUGCAAAUCCUUCUCUGACUCUACCACCGAGCUACAGCCCCAGCCCCUGUGCAUGUUCUAUUUUUCUCAUCACAAAUGAUUUUACUAGUUUUCAACUUCAUAUAAAUGAAAUUAACUGUAGUCUAUAAUUUUAUGAGGUCUGGCCUCCUUCACUCAACAUUGUCUUUGAAAUUUCGUUUUUAUGAAUGGGCUCUGCUCUCUGUCCCCAGUCCAUUUGCUUCGCUUUAAAAAAAAAAAUAAAAUCUUUAGAGAUUGA